GGGGCAUCGAUAUUCAUUUGUAAGAAAUUAUGGGCCCUGGUCACAAGGCAUGCACAGACAAAUUUUAUGUGUUGCCAGUUCUAAAAGGGGGCAAUGUGAUGACCCAAGGCUGUAGAAGAAAAUAAUGGAACAUCUAUUUGUCUCACCAUUUGAAAAUCUCAAUUUUGGGCCAACUGGAUGUCAACACCACUGAGCCUUCCCUACCCUCAGCCCGAGUCCGGCUAGCUCCAGGGUGACCUUAUGGCCUGAGGCUCAGGUCAC